rnacentral:misc_RNA from 1 species
GAACGCACCUUGCACUCUUCGGUAUUCCGAUGAGUAUGCCUGUUUGAGAGUAUUUUAAUCAUCAAUCCUUCUUUACUUUUGUAAUGGAUGGUUUGGACUUGGGGAUUGCUGGCCUAGCAAUGGGCCUGGCUUCUCUUGAAUGCAUUAGUUGAAUUGACUUGCAAUGCUAUGUGUGGUGUGAUAAUAUCUUCACUGCAUAGUUGUAAUGAAGUUUGGCUUAUAACAGUCCUUCACUGGACAAUAUUUGACAAUUACACCUCAAAUCAGGUAGGACUACCCGCUGAACUUAA